rnacentral:rRNA from 1 species
UACGAAGGGGGCUAGCGUUGCUCGGAAUGACUGGGCGUAAAGGGCGCGUAGGCGGCUUGCACCGUCAGAUGUGAAAUUCCUGGGCUUAACCUGGGGGCUGCAUUUGAUACGUGUGGGCUUGAGUGCGGAAGAGGGUCGUGGAAUUCCCAGUGUAGCGGUGAAAUGCGUAGAUAUUGGGAGGAACACCAGUGGCGAAGGCGGCUCACUGGACCGGUACUGACGCUGAUGCGCGAAAGCGUGGGGAGCAAACGGG